CACAAACCACUCUGUCAUCAUUCAGACCAGCUGCGUGAAAUGAGACAAAGGGAAAUUUAGCAGCAAGGGAGGAAAUGUCGUGACACGUACUUCAGAAUUCACAAGGCAACAGGAAAAAAAAAGGUUCAUGAGGGAAGAAAACCAAGUGAAUAACCCAGGAAAGUUGGUGAACUGUGACAUGUGUUGGACUCAUGUGAACCAUGAAUAUCUGCGUCAUAGAUUGAGUGUUGCUGCAGUAAUGUGAAGCAAGCCUACUGUCACCUUCUCAUAGAAAAUUGGAUAUCUUUCCUGACUGCCUGUUGUGGACUGAAUUGAGUCCACUUCAAAAUUCAUAUGUUAAAGCCCUAACCCCCAAUGUCACUGUUAAGGAGGAAAUUAAGGUUAAAUGAGGUCAUAUGGGUGGGAACCUUAAUUCAAUAAGACUGGUGUCCUUAUCAGAAGAAACACACCAAGGAUGCAUACUCACAGAAAAAAGCCCUCAUGAGGACAUAGAGAGAAGAUGGUCAUCAGCAAGGCAAGGAGAGAGGCAUCAAGAGAAACCAAACCUGCAGACACUUUGAUCUUAGACUUCCAGCCUCCAUACUGUGAGAUAAAUUUCUGUUAUUUAAGUCACAUAGUCUGUGGUAUUUUGUUAUGGCAACCCUAGCAAACUACUACACAGCCUUUUCAUGAGUUAUUGUUUUGUUUUGUUUUGUUUUUGCCUAAAAUCUAGAUCCUGCACAACCAUUUCAUGACUUUUGAUUUCAGGGUUAAUACUUUGUAUUGUCUUGGCGUUAAUACUUAUGUAUCAAAUUUUUCUGGGACCUAUUUUUUUCUUUCAAUUGACAAAUGCAAUUACUUUUAUUUUCAGAAAAGUUGCCUUCUAUGUUAUCUUGAAAUAUUUUUGUCCUUUUUCUCAAUGUAAAAAUAAUAUGCAGCCCUAAAAAAGAAUGAAAUUAUGUCCUAUGCAGCAACAUGGAUGCAGCUGGAGGCCAUUAUCCUAAGUGAAUUAAUGCGGAAACAGAAAAGCAAAUACCACAUGUAUUUGUGGAUGUGGUAUCCACAUCCACUUAUAAGUGGAUGCUAAACCUUGGGUACUCACAGACAUAAAGAUGGCAACAAUAGACACUGGGGACUACUAGAACAGGGAGGGAGGGAGGGAGGGGGGCAAAGGUUGAAAAACUAUCAAGUACUAUGCUUACCACCUGAAGGAUGGGAUCAUUUCUACCCCAAACCUCAGCAUCACACAUUAUACCCACAUAACAAACCUGCACAUGUACCCUCCAAAUCUAAAAUAAAAGGUGAAAAUAUUUUAAAAAAUUACAUCUACAAGGGAUCGCCUUUGUCUGCUUCCAGUGAUGUUAUCUCAAAUACUUCCUAAUGACACACUUUUUUAUUCUUACAGAUCUUUUUUUGUUUGUUUGUUUCAUCUUAUAUGUGUGCUUCAACAGGUGCAUCCUUUCUGACUUAGCAUCAGGGUGAUGGUAAGAUCUGUAUUUGAGGUUAGGCUAUGAGGACUCCUUUUUAGACCCUGAGCCUACAGCAGAUGCUACAAAUGCUACAAAUGCUACAAACCAGCUUUGUAGCCUAGAAGAACAUAAGCCUCCCAAAAGAAACACUUUGCGUGUAUAGGUCCCACAAAAAAAUCAUGAAUGAGGGAUCAUUAAUAGUGAGUUUUCUAUCCAGACAAUAUCUCAUAGGGUCUAAUUCACAGUAUUGUUUUAUGUCCAACAUAUUGGUUGCUAGUAACACAGAAAAAUGCUUUAUAAGAGAUUUUUAGAAACACAUUAUGUCAAUGAUUAAUGCCAAUAAUUUCUACUUUAUCAACAAUUAUCCAAAU
rnacentral:lncRNA from 10 species